ensembl:lncRNA
UUUUUGUGGUUAUUGGUUUUGUUGUCCUGGGAUACGUUAUAUAGCGUGUUGUUUACAUUAUUCAGUCAUGUAUGACGUAAACAGGGAGAACACAUAAUCAAAUGUAGUCCAGUACUCAUUUAAAAUAAUUUGAAUGUUUGUAGCGCAGCUUUCUCCUCUUGAACUGCAGAGACUGGACAGGUUUGCCUAAUAAAGAAGCCUUUGGGUGCCAGCUUGUUUUGUCUACGCAUACACUUAUUAACAUGUCCUAACCCAACAAGAAAAUGAAGUGGGCAUAACCUGGACCACAGUGACGGGCCUCUGACCACACCGUGCACUGUUAUCAGAAGCCUGAAAACCACCUACUCCACUGGUGCAAACAAGUUUUGCAAGCAAAAAUUGGCACCUCGUAUGAGAGGAACACAAGCUUCAACAUAUUUGAUGUAUAUAGGCCAUGUUUGUCCAAACUUUGGGAUUAGCAGUAUGCAAAUGUUGUUUUUAGAGAUGGAUAAAAAAUAAAAGCUAUUUACAGCCUUGCAGUUGAUGCAACUCAGAGAAGGUUUUUUGAGCAAAAGAUCAGGCGAUCACCAAAAUGAUUAAUCAUCCUCUGAGAAAUAACAACGAUGUGUUCCAAGAUAUUUAUGUGUCUGAUUGGAGCUGUGCAUAUAUACUUUCAGGUCCUUGCAGCGGUCGAAGAUCUCUACAUUGCCGAGCUGAUGGUGGAGAGUAAUGUUACUAUGGAGGCCGACCAGAUCCUUUCCAUUUUGAAUUCAACACAUGACAUCAAACUGUCUGACUUGACCACAGUGAUCCUCUCCCACAAUGAACUGGUUGCAGAGUGCCUGCUUAUUCGAAAUGAAUCCACCUGCAGCUGCAGUACCGGCUACAUUUGGAGCAACCCGGUGUGCAACCAAUUCAACUGUUGCCGGGAGGCUCCUUGUCCUCAAAAUGUGUCCCACAUCGUGCCACUCUGUGUUGCCAAAGUCAUGGUAAAUAUC